rnacentral:rRNA from 1 species
AACGCGAAGAACCUUACCUGGGCUCGAAAUGGAGUGGACCGGAGUAGAAAUAUUCCUUCCCCGCAAGGGGCUGCUCUAUAGGUGCUGCAUGGCUGUCGUCAGCUCGUGUCGUGAGAUGUUGGGUUAAGUCCCGCAACGAGCGCAACCCUUAUUACCAGUUGCCAUCAUUCAGUUGGGCACUCAGGUGAGACCGCCUCGGAUAACGGGGAGGAAGGCGGGGAUGACGUCAAGUCCUCAUGGCCUUUAUGUCCAGGGCUACACACGUGCUACAAUGGCCGGUACAAACCGUCGCAAACCCGUGAGGGGGAGCUAAUCGGAAAAAGCCGGCCUCAGUUCGGAUUGGAGUCUGCAACUCGACUCCAUGAAGCUGGAAUCGCUAGUAAUCGCGGAUCAGAACGCCGCGGUGAAUACGUUCCCGGGCCUUGUACACACCGACUGUAC